rfam:Oryza glaberrima chromosome 10 Oglab10_0094_9, whole genome shotgun sequence.
UUUAAGUGCAACCAUGUGUUUAUGUGUCUAACUUUGAUCGUCCGUCUUAUUUAUAGUUUUUUAUGAUUAAUAUUUUUAUUGUUAUUAGAUGAUAAAACAUGAAUAGUACUUUAUGUGUGACUUAUGUUUUUAAUUUUUUUCAAAAAAUUUCAAAUAAGACGGAUGAUCAAAGUUGGGCACGGCAAAUCAUGGCUGCACUCAAA